rnacentral:piRNA from 1 species
UGUCACUGAAGACCUGGUUUAUGUUU